GGCCCUGUAGCUCAAUGGUAGAGCACGCAACUCAUAAUUGCUAGGUUUCUGGUUCGAGUCCAGGCUGGGUCA
rnacentral:tRNA from 1 species